rnacentral:RNase_P_RNA from 1 species
CUACAAACCCGUGCUGCCGCUGUUUCGAAAGAAAUGGAGGAAAGUCCGGACAGCAUAGAGCGAUGCACCAUCUAACGGAUGGGGUUCUUUUUAAGAAUACAGAAAGUGCCACAGAAAAUAACCGCCGGAGCGUCAAGGCUUGCCGAAGCGCAACGGUAAGGGUGAAAAUGUGCGGUAAGAGCGCACGGUAGUUAUGGGUAACUAUAAUUGCGGGUAAACCUUGCAUGAUGAAAUGCCCAAUAGGCAGGCGCUUGAGGACUGCUCGUCCGAUGCCUGCGGGUAGGCAGAUAGAAUGUUGCAGCAAUGUAACAUCCAGAUAAAUGGCAGCAGCCCCGCAGCAAUGCGGGGUACAAAAUCCGGCUUACAGGGUUUGUAGUUUU